UAAUACAUGCAAGUCGAACGAAGUAGCAAUACUUAGUGGCAGACGGGUGAGUAACAUGUAGGUAUCUACCCUUUGGCCUGGAAUAACACGAGGAAACUUGUGCUAAUACCGGAUAAGUCUUUACGGAGAAAGCUUUAUGCACCAUUGGAUGAGCCUGCACUUGAUUAGUUUGUUGGUGGGGUAAUGGCCUACCAAGACAAUGAUCAAUAGCUGAUUUGAGAGGAUGAUCAGCCACAUUGGGACUGAGACACGGCCCAAACUCCUACGGGAGGCAGCAGUAGGGAAUCUUGCACAAUGGAGGAAACUCUGAUGCAGCGAUGCCGCGUGAGUGAAGAAGGCCUUUGGGUUGUAAAGCUCUUUCGUCGGGGAAGAAAAUGACUGUACCCGAAUAAGAAGGUCCGGCUAACUUCGUGCCAGCAGCCGCGGUAAUACGAAGGGACCUAGCGUAGUUCGGAAUUACUGGGCUUAAAGGGUUCGUAGGUGGUUAAAAAAGUUGGUGGUGAAAUCCCAGAGCUUAACUCUGGAACUGCCAUCAAAACUUUUUAGCUAGAGUAUGAUAGAGGAAAGCAGAAUUUCUAGUGUAGAGGUGAAAUUCGUAGAUAUUAGAAAGAAUACCGAUUGCGAAGGCAGCUUUCUGGAUCAUUACUGACACUGAGGAACGAAAGCAUGGGUAGCGAAGAGGAUUAGAUACCCUCGUAGUCCAUGCCGUAAACGAUGUGUGUUAGACGUUGGAAAUUUAUCUUCAGUGUCGCAGCGAAAGCGAUAAACACACCGCCUGGGGAGUACGACCGCAAGGUUAAAACUCAAAUGAAUUGACGGGGACCCGCACAAGUAGUGGAGCAUGUGGUUUAAUUCGAAGAUACGCGCAGAACCUUACCAACACUUGACAUGUUCGUCGCGACUCUAAGAGAUUAGAGUUUUCGGUUCGGCCGGACGAAACACAGGUGCUGCAUGGCUGUCGUCAGCUCGUGUCGUGAGAUGUUGGGUUAAGUCCCGCAACGAGCGCAACCCUUACUUUUAGUUGCCAUCAUUUAGUCGGGCACUCUGAAAGAACUGCCAGUGAUAAGCUGGAGGAAGGUGGGGAUGACGUCAAGUCCUCAUGGCCCUUAUGUGUUGGGCUACACACGUGCUACAAUGGUAUCUACAACAGGAAGCAAGAUGGCAACAUUAAGCAAAUCCCAAAAAGAUACCUCAGUUCGGAUUGCACUCUGCAACUCGAGUGCAUGAAGCUGGAAUUACUAGUAAUCGUGGAUCAGCGUGCCACGGUGAAUACGUUCCCGGGUCUUGUACACACCGCCCGUCACACCAUGGGAGUUGGUUCUACCUUAAGGCAAAGUUUAAAACCUUUGACCACGGUAUAGUCAGCGACUGGGGUG
rnacentral:rRNA from 1 species